UGAUCUGACCUGGCCUUCUCCCAGCUCGACUCUGCUUCCUUCGAAGCCCUGGUCUUAGCAGAUCCUUUGUACCAUGCAGCACUGACGAGCUGUGUGCCUCACGGGUGCCCACUAUCUUGCUCCAUCCUCCUGAGAGCCCUGUCAGCUCAUCUGAGGUUAGAAGACCCACCCCAAGUGUGGGCCGUGCCUUCUGGAGGCAGCCACUGAAAAGGGCUGGCGUGGAAGAGGGAAGCUUUUACCUUCUGCCUGCUUGAUUUCCUUCUCAUUGGUGAGUUCAUCUAUGCUGUUUCUGAGGCAUGCUUUCUCUGGAGUUAGAAGCUAUUUCUUGAGGACUCCAUCAUGGAGUGAAAACUGGUAACUGUCUAGAUCUUCCCUGGAACUCCCACACUUGGUCAGGACUGCUGAGACAUCUAAGCUCAUAAACUAAACAACCACUGUGGAUCCUUGACCUUUCCAGCAGGAGACAGAUACUGGUGGACUACUCAGACCUCAGCCUAUCAGCUACUCCAGCCUGUCAGCUACUCCAGCCUGUCAGCUACUCCAAUACAUUCUGUCAGUUCAGUUCCUUUAAAGAAUGCUCACUAACACGCUGUGCUUUGAGAGUUUAGAGAUGCCACCAUUUCUGUUUUGAGGUGUGACUUCUCAGCUCUCAGCUCUCACCACUGUGUCUGCUGCUGUGCUGUCUGUCCCUACCAAUAUGGACCCUAAUCUGGCACCAUAAGGCCAAAUAAACUCUUUCUUCCAUAACUGU